GCUAUCGUAGCUCAGCUGGUAGAGCAGCUCAUUCGUAAUGAGCAGGUCACCGGUUCGAAUCCGGUCGAUAGCU
rnacentral:tRNA from 1 species